UUGCUUAACCUAUAAUAAAAUAAAAUCCACUAUUUACUACGUAAAAUAUAAAAACGCAAAUUCAUUAACUUGAAAUUAGCCAAAUACACUGACGUCAUCCGAGGUCAUCAAGAUGGCAGCGUUUGACAACUAGCCGGUUUUCUCAUAAGAGUCAAUGCUAAUAUUUUCGGAAUUCAUUUAAAUUUGAGAGUGUGUCAACUGUGUUUUUAUAAUUUGGAGAAAAUGCCUAAAUUUUGUGCUGUUGUGGGUUGCGCAAAUCGAAGCACCAGAAAUGCGGACAAAUUUUAUAUUCCUUUCGCAGCAAUUAGCAACAAUAAUGGUAAAUAUAUACAGGAUGGGGAAAAAGGCGGAAGCUUUGGUUAAAAGCCUUGAAACGAGUGGAUUUAACGAAGCCAAAGUAAAGUAUUCCUAUGUUUGUUCGGAUCAUUUUAUUUUAGGUAAACCUGCAGAUUUGUCGGAUGUGGAUCAUCCUGAUUAUGUUCCAUCACAAAAUUUAGAAUAUCAAAAUAAAUCCACUCAUAAUACUUGUAAUGUUGAAAGACACAGUUGUUUA